rnacentral:misc_RNA from 1 species
UUGAAUUCUCAAUAACGUAUGUGAACCUGCUGAACCUUGGAUCAUAAGUUUGUAGACGCUGUUGGGGUCAUACCUGCGGCUUAACAGGCCUAAGUGCCAAGGGUAGGCGUUAAAACUGGCGGACUUUGAGCCGUCAGUCUAUUUUUAACCACCCUUUAAUCAUGAUUAUUACUGAACAUUUUAAAACUAAAAA